AAGAAGCGUAACAGUGACGGUACCUGCAGAAAAAAGCACCGGCUAACUACGUGCCAGCAGCCGCGGUAAUACGUAGGGUGCAAGCGUUGUCCGGAAUUAUUGGGCGUAAAGAGCUCGUAGGCGGUUUGUCGCGUCUGCUGUGAAAANCCGAGGCUCAACCUCGGGCCUGCAGUGGGUACGGGCAGACUAGAGUGCGGUAGGGGAGAUUGGAAUUCCUGGUGUAGCGGUGGAAUGCGCAGAUAUCAGGAGGAACACCAAUGGCGAAGGCAGAUCUCUGGGCCGUAACUGACGCUGAGGAGCGAAAGCAUGGGGAGCGAACAGGAUUAGAUACCCUNGUAGUNCANGCCGUAAACGUUGGGAACUAGAUGUGGGGACCAUUCCACGGUCUCCGUGUCGCAGCUAACGCAUUAAGUUCCCCGCCUGGGGAGUACGGCCGCAAGGCUAAAACUCAAAGGAAUUGACGGAAUCGAA
rnacentral:rRNA from 1 species